rnacentral:rRNA from 1 species
UACAGAGGUCCCGAGCGUUGUUCGGAUUCACUGGGCGUAAAGGGUGCGUAGGCGGCGCGGUAAGUCGGGUGUGAAAUCUCGGAGCUUAACUCCGAAACUGCAUUCGAUACUGCCGUGCUUGAGGACUGGAGAGGAGACUGGAAUUUACGGUGUAGCGGUGAAAUGCGUAGAUAUCGUAAGGAAGACCAGUGGCGAAGGCGGGUCUCUGGACAGUUCCUGACGCUGAGGCACGAAGGUCAGGGGAGCAAACAGG